rnacentral:rRNA from 1 species
AUGAACGCUGGCGGCGUGCCUAAUACAUGCAAGUCGAGCGAACGGACGAGAAGCUUGCUUCUCUGAUGUUAGCGGCGGACGGGUGAGUAACACGUGGAUAACCUACCUAUAAGACUGGGAUAACUUCGGGAAACCGGAGCUAAUACCGGAUGAUAUUUUGAACCGCAUGGUUCAAAAGUGAAAGAAGGUCUUGCUGUCACUUAUAGAUGGAUCCGCGCUGCAUUAGCUAGUUGGUAAGGUAAUGGCUUACCAAGGCAACGAUGCAUAGCCGACCUGAGAGGGUGAUCGGCCACACUGGAACUGAGACACGGUCCAGACUCCUACGGGAGGCAGCAGUAGGGAAUCUUCCGCAAUGGGCGAAAGCCUGACGGAGCAACGCCGCGUGAGUGAUGAAGGUCUUCGGAUCGUAAAACUCUGUUAUUAGGGAAGAACAUAUGUGUAAGUAACUGUGCACAUCUUGACGGUACCAAAUCAGAAAGCCACGGCUAACUACGUG